GCUUGGGAAGUGACUUGUCGACCCUGCCCUGAGAGCCUGCUCGAGAAGGUUGGCAAACGCUCCUCGUCCUGCUGUGAAUCCCUCAGGCUUGUGAGGGACGACAGAUGGUUGAGCUAAACUCGGAGCCACCCCUCUACAUAAUGAAGAAAAAUGACCAGCCUCCUGAGAACCCUGACUAAUGCGCCAUGAGAGCACACGCGAUGGGGAGAGUGAAGAGGAAAGAACACUGAGACGUAAUGCUGUUUAAAGGGUGUGAAGAAGAGGAGGGAUGUUAGUGACUCCUGAGUAGCAUCACCCGUUUCAAGAAUAUCCGUGCCGACAGCCCGAUUGAAAUUGACGUAAAUGUGUGAGAAGAGGAAGAGGAACGUGAUCAUAUUGUGUAGGCCAGUCAUCUCCGCCAGGCUUGGUCUUACGAAGAUCAUCAAAGAAGAGAAACCUGUUUCAGCUGCCACAGGAACAUCAGGAUUUGUCUGCUCUGGAUUUGCUGAAUGCAGACAUCUUUAUGUAGCCAGCCAUCGUCAUAUCUCCGGGGCCUCCAUGUCACUGCUUCAUCCGUUGACUACACAAUUAAACACGUCUGGGAGUCAGGUUAUCGUCAUGGGCAAGAGCACUGAGAGUCAGCCAGUUCUGGAUUACAGUCUUGGCUCCUUCACUUUCUUAUUACUAUGACCUUGGGCAAAGUUACUUAAAACCUCUGAGCCUUAGUUUUCUUACCCAUACAAUGAGGGUAAUAAACAUAGAGCAUAUCUACCUCUUAAGGUUAUUGUGAAGAUGAAAUGAGAGAGAUGAAUGUUUUAGGUUGAGCUACAUGAAAUUAUCAAUUUGUGACCAUUUGGACCAAUAAAGCAAUUUUACAUGGUUCAUACUAAUAAAUGGCUUAGCAAAGUACCUGAAUUCUAUCAAAGAUUUAACAGUAAUAACAAUUUACAGA
rnacentral:lncRNA from 1 species